rnacentral:rRNA from 1 species
GCAGCAGUAGGGAAUUUUCGGCAAUGGAGGAAACUCUGACCGAGCAACGCCGCGUGAACGAUGAAGUAUUUCGGUAUGUAAAGUUCUUUUAUUGAAGAAGAAAAAAUAGUGGAAAAACUAUCUUGACGUUAUUCAAUGAAUAAGCCCCGGCUAACUAUGUGCCAGCAGCCGCGGUAAGACAUAGGGGGCGAGCGUUAUCCGGAAUUAUUGGGCGUAAAGGGUGCGUAGGCGGUUAGGAAAGUCUAUAAUUUAAUUUCAGUGCUUAACGCUGUCUUGUUAUAGAAACUACCUUGACUAGAGUUAGAUAGAGGCAAGCGGAAUUCCAUGUGUAGCGGUAAAAUGUGUAAAUAUAUGGAGGAACACCAGAAGCGUAGGCGGCUUGCUGGGUCUUGACUGACGCUGAGGCACGAAAGCGUGGGUAGCAAACAGGAUUAGAUACCCUGGUAGUCCACGCCGUAAACGAUGAGUACUAAGUGUCGGGAUAAAACUCGGUACUGAAGUUAACACAUUAAGUACUCCGCCUGAGUAGUACGUACGCAAGUAUGAAACUUAAAGGAAUUGACGGGACUCCGCACAAGCGGUGGAUCAUGUUGUUUAAUUCGAAGAUACACGAAAAAUCUUACCAGGUCUUGACAUGCUCUGCAAAGCUAUAGAAAUAUAGUGGAGGUUAUCAGGGACACAGGUGGUGCAUGGUUGUCGUCAGUUCGUGUCGUGAGAUGUUAGGUUAAGUCCUAAAACGAGCGCAACCCUUGUCGUUAGUUACCAGCACGUAAUGGUGGGCACUUUAACGAGACUGCCAAUUAAACAUUGGAGGAAGGUGAGGAUUACGUCAAAUCAUCAUGCCCCUUAUGAUCUGGGCUACAAACGUGAUACAAUGGCUGUUACAAAGAGUAGCUGA